rnacentral:RNase_P_RNA from 1 species
UGAGUCGGCCGGGUGAUCGCGGCGACCUGUACCGCCACAUCAGUGUGGUGUCAGGCAGGGGUCGAGGAAAGUCCGGACUCCACAGGGCACGGUGGUUGCUAACGGCAACCCGGGGCGACCCGCGGGAAAGUGCAACAGAAAGUAGACCGCCCGGGAAACCGGGUGAGGGUGAAAGGGUGCGGUAAGAGCGCACCGGCGGAUGUGGUGACACAACCGGCCAGGUAAACCCCACCGGGAGCAAGGCAAGAAUCCCAGCCGCGCACGCUGGGAUCGUCGGACGUUAUGAGGCUGCCCGCCCAGUUCGAAGGUAGCUGCUCGAGGCGCCGGGCAACCGGCGUCCUAGAUGGAUGAUCGCCGCCCCUCCCCGCACGGGGCAGGGGGCACAGAAUCCGGCUUAAAGGCUGACUCACUCG